CGACAGACAAGGUCCAAGUCAUGCUUUGACAAAAACUCAGAAACUUUAUCAGGACCAAAGGUGUAUGAAACUCCCCUAUCAUUCAUCCCCCAACCCUUUACAUCUUUACCAGGAUCUGACCAAAGUAAAUCGCAAAGCAAACCAGUGUCCGGGAUGGCAGUUGGACGUGGACAUGAUGUUGAACACAUGAAUGAUAUGAAGCUAAAAAGGAUCAAAUAAGGCUUUGAAGUAUGAACGAAGUCAAAGAAAACUAAUCGGGAUCAUGUCCAGGACAGAGAGUGUGCACAUCAGCCGACUAAAGACAUUUUGACACUAUUGUAUGCCCACCCGGUGCAUGGAAAGUUGAGCCUUGCGAUGUGGAGGUAUCUUUUUAGGACUACCUGCAUAAACUCAUGUACUCUGAUGUUUCGUCUAGACAAUGCACAUGACCACACAUACCACGACAUAGCACAGUGUUUUUGGUCCUAUCCAAGUCUGUUUGGUUUGGGAAAGGUGUUUUAGUCAUAAGGCGUGCCCACAUAUUAUAGACACAAUAAAAAAGAUUAGACUAGUCAGAAGGAGAGAAACCAGGGGGAGUGAUUCGAGAUUCCACGAGGGGAAGAACAGCUUGAGCUACAUCAAUCCUAAGAUUUCUUUCAUCUCCUCUUGGGGAUCAUUUGGUACGUGGGGCAUAUCCCAGGAUUAUGUUUGGAAUUAGAUUUAUACAAUGGUUGGUUGAUGGUAAAAACUUAUCUUGAAUCCUGCCAAGAGAGGGUUUGGAGAUUCCGCGAGGGGAGGAACAAUUUGAGCUACAUCAAUCAUAAGCUUUUCCUGAUGUCACCAAGAAAACCAACGACUAUCUAGCCUCUACAACUAUUUUACGCAUUAACAUUCUAGUGUCAUCCGUCCCAUUUGAGGAGCUUCCCACCUCCCUCUGGUAAACCCAACCCCCCUACCCCUUUUUUGUCACCAACAAGGUCAGCGAAGGAGAUAUUCUGACCCCAUGCCCCAUCGACAUCAAUGAAACAAUGUUCUGAAACUUAUCCUCCACCCAGAUAGAGCUUUGACCCGUCCCCAGCCCAUUCGAGCGGCGUUUCUAGUCUUUAUUAAUACAAUUGUUACCUUUCUCAAAAGAGAAAAAGGAAUGACAAAUAACUCAUAAUCAUCAAUAUCAAUAGAGGUUGCAUAUAUAAGUGGAACAUAAAUAAGAGCAAGUGAGAGCACCCUCAAUAAUAUGUGUCACACACUCAAGAUACAUUCUCUCACUCACACAUAGAAAGAGGAAACUUACCUCCUCAUUUUCCUACCGGAGACAUCGGGCCAACAAAUGGUGUGAGCAUUUUCUAUGUUGUUUUUUCUAUAUUGUAGUUAAAACAUGGUAAGUUACCAUAUCUAUAUUCUAUUUCCUUUGCCGAAGAAGUAAACGGGAGAGGAGAUUAGACAUGAUAUGACGCAACUUCAACUUAAUGAGAACAUGACCACAGAAAGGAGGUUAUAGAGGACACAAAUUAGGGCAGAAGGUUAGUUUUCUUUGAAACUGGUAAAAAUUACUAAAACCCAACCAUGCUUUCGACUGCAGCUUCACAAGGAACCUAUCACAUCAACUAGCGAUUCAAUAUCCUCUACAAAGUUUUCUUUACACCAAAAAUGAAACAAAAGAAUAAAAUUCAUCUAGACUUUCUGCACAAGAUUUCUUGUCUUCAAAAAAUUAUGUAGUUCCUCUCCUUCCAAAUUGUCCACCAUUUACAAGUUGGGACAAGUUUCCACCACUUCUUUUGUCUCACUGCACCACCAUUAUAGUUCCAACACUUCAAUAAAUUACAACUUGUUGCUGGAAUAGACCAUCUUAGUCUUACCAAGUUUAAAAAAGGCAUAAUACAUACAUAUGCCCCUUAACUUGGUUUCAAAUUAUAACUUUGACCUUUAUGUUUGAUUGUGCACAAACAGACACUUUAACUAUCCAAAAUUUAUACAAAAAAACCACUCAAAUAUUUCAGACACAAUGCGUGAUAUACAAUUGCUCUGACGUGGAUAAGUGAACCACUAAGUUGCUACCAACUAAAUAAAAUAAAUACACCUAGAUUUUAAAAAAAUAAAAAUAAAUUAUAAUAUAGAAUAAGGUGAAAAAGAAAACAAAUUCAUUUUUGGAAAUAUUUUUACCACGCUUUUCUCUCUUUCUUCUAGAAAAAAACAAACCCUAACCUAAAUUCCAGAAUGCAUGCCCUUAUAUUCAAAUCAAAGAAAAAAUUGUUCAAGAUAUGUAUAGAAAAUUCAUAUACUUGAACGAUUACUUAAUGGAAAAAAAGAUGUUUUAUAUAUUAUGAUUGUUAUAGUGAAUAGCAAAUUACAGUUACGAUUUUUCAGAGGCUAAGAAAUAAACAUAAAGAACUAAAAAUUAUUAAGUAAAAUGGUGCACUUAAACUGUUUGAUAAAAUGCCUAAAUGAACUUCUUAAGUUGUAUUUUGUACAUCGAUUAUUGCUACAUCUUGUGAUGACUACUGUUCAGGAAGAUUUGUCGGGCUGUUCAUAGUAUUAUGUCAUGACUUCUUCAUUUCCAUUUUUUUCAAUUAAACAAGCUCAACCUUGGGGAAAAAGGUGGUAGGCUGAUGUUGAAAGUUAUACUGCUUCGGGCUACCUUUUCUCGAGUUAUGGGUCUAUCGAAGUCAACCCCUCUAUCUUAAGAUAGUGCAAAGGAACAGGACUAACUAGAGUGUCACAGUAGGUUUCCAGUUUACCAAAUUUUGGUGCUAACAAUCAAUGCCUUUGGUGAUUUUUCACAAGGUAUCAUUUGAACUGUACUUAAGAGCUAGAGAGCAGAAGAACCAAUCAAUGUGCCCAUUCAAUAUUGUGAGAAACUAUGGAUGGUGCACACACCAACUAAAAAUUGUUGCAAAAGAUGGUUACAUGGGCUAACCAGCAGCAAAACAAAAGAAUCCGAUCCAAUCUAGAGUUGGUAUCUACCUCCAUUGAUUAUCCAAUACCAUCCAUGGUGUUAACAAUGAUCAGACGGCAUUGCUCAACAUCAACUAACAGAGGCCAAAGCUUUUUAUUGAUAUCCCCAAUGAUGGUGGUGGUAGAGAAAAGUCAGUGUUGCUCAUUGGUUUCGGUCGUUGAAGUGAUUUUGAAGAAGACUUGGAUCUCUUGAUCAUCCAAGUAGGUUAGGUCAUCACUUUCUGAGGGCGAUGCCACUAUCUAACUAAUUGAGUUGUUUUGAGUUUAAGACUAUUAUGUUAUUUCUUUUCCAUUUAGUAUCAAACAUUGUAUAGCCCAUGUGAGGCAUUCUUACUUUGAUGCAUGGGCUAUGCCCAAGUUCUUACACUCCUGUUA